UACGGAGGGGGCUAGCGUUGUUCGGAAUUACUGGGCGUAAAGCGUGCGUAGACGGUUAUUUAAGUCGGGUGUGAAAGCCCCGGGCUCAACCUGGGAAUUGCAUUCGAGACUGAAUAGCUAGGGUACGGUAGAGGGGGAUGGAAUUCCGCGUGUAGCAGUGGAAAUGCGUAGAUAUGCGGAGGAACACCGAUGGCGAAGGCAAUCCCCUGGACCUGUACUGACGCUCAUGCACGAAAGCGUGGGGAGCAAACAGG
rnacentral:rRNA from 1 species